UAACCAAUUAUUGUCAGGUGUACAUUACUUGGGAAAAGAGGGUUUAACUAGAAAGACCUCAUUUGCAAAAAAAUAAACAGCAUAAUUUCCAUCCAUCUCCCUCCCCAAGGAAGGAUUGAAAUAUGAUGAAUAUCGUUACUUGAGUGUAUCUUAGAGGGCUGCCCCCCACAUUUUAUAGAUAUGCAAAUUAAGCUGACUGGUGUAGUUAAAAAGUUGCUGAAUUACACAGUCUCACAGGUAAGGAAUUAUAUGAAAUAACCCUUCUGGUCAGUAAAAAUGUAUCAAGAUUAAACUUUUAUUACUGGGCCAUAAACGAAUCUCUGCACAUGCUAAAAUGAUUGUUCUCUGAUCCUGUGUACUAGGAAACAAUCAGGAUGCCCUGCACAAUGCCAACAGCACAUCCAGCUUCCAGCCUGCAAAUGGGGAUGGACAAGUGGAGUAUUUCUUUGCAUCAGAUGCCAGUGCCAUCAUCGAGCACACCAACCGUGUCAUCUUUAUGGAGGAUGAUGAUGUGGCUGCUGUUACAGAUGGAUGUCUGUCCCUGCACCGUAUCCGGCGCUCAGUAGACGAGUCCUCCACCAGGCAG